rnacentral:sRNA from 1 species
UCUAUCACCCUGGAAACUGAAACAUACUUUGUCCGCAUCACGUUGCAACAAUGCAAGUUAGCACAGCUCUGUCAUUGAAACCCAGCAUUGUUCUAAUGGAACCACUUCUAGGGGUGAGAGGGCAGUUCAGUGUCCAUGUCUUUUCUAUCCUUGGCCUCU